GAUGAACGCUAGCGGCAGGCCUAAUACAUGCAAGUCGAACGAGAUUAAGAGGCUUGCUUCUUAUGAAAGUGGCGCACGGGUGCGUAACGCGUAUGCAACCUACCUUAAUCAGGGGGAUAGCCCGAAGAAAUUCGGAUUAAGACCGCAUAAAAACACAGGAUAGCAUUAUCCAAUGUUCAAAUAUUUAUAGGAUUAAGAUGGGCAUGCGUGUCAUUAGCUAGUUGGCGGGGUAACGGCCCACCAAGGCGACGAUGACUAGGGGAUCUGAGAGGAUGACCCCCCAAACGGGUACUGAGACAAGGACCAGAAGCCUACGGGAGGCAGCAGUAAGGAAUAUUGGGCAAUGGAGGGAAAUCUGAACCAGCCAUGCCGGGUGCAGGAAGACAGCCCUCUGGGGCGUAAACUGCUUUUAUUCGGGAAUAAACCUUUCUACGUGGAGGAAGCUGAAUGUACCGAAGGAAUAAGGAUCGGCUAAAUCCGUG
rnacentral:rRNA from 1 species